rnacentral:rRNA from 1 species
GACAACUCUAGAGAUAGAGCCUUCCCCUUCGGGGGACAAAGUGACAGGUGGUGCAUGGUUGUCGUCAGCUCGUGUCGUGAGAUGUUGGGUUAAGUCCCGCAACGAGCGCAACCCUUAAGCUUAGUUGCCAUCAUUAAGUUGGGCACUCUAAGUUGACUGCCGGUGACAAACCGGAGGAAGGUGGGGAUGACGUCAAAUCAUCAUGCCCCUUAUGAUUUGGGCUACACACGUGCUACAAUGGACAAUACAAAGGGCAGCGAAACCGCGAGGUCAAGCAAAUCCCAUAAAGUUGUUCUCAGUUCGGAUUGUAGUCUGCAACUCGACUACAUGAAGCUGGAAUCGCUAGUAAUCGUAGAUCAGCAUGCUACGGUGAAUACGUUCCCGGGUCUUGUACACACCGCCCGUCACACCACGAGAGUUUGUAACACCCGAAGCCGGUGGAGUAACCUUUUAGGAGCUAGCCGUCGAAGGUGGGACAAAUGAUUGGGGUGAAGUCGUAACAAGGUAGCCGUAUCGGAAGGUGCGGCUGGAUCACCUCCUUU